CAAAACAACCCUGAACUGAAUUUUCAUGAUAUGCGAGAGUGUGCUGGAUCUAAUAUUCCUUCACCGGUUGAUGCAAGUAGUGCACGAGCUAUAAGAGGCCAAAAUCUACGACAUUCUUCUGGCUCAACUCAUGCUCCGAGUCUUGAAAAGGAAAAUGCGGAUGAUGCAAUUGGAAAUGGUGGCCGGAAAUCAAUUUGAUCUAUUAAAAUGGAUGGUGAAGACAUUUUGAACAAUUGUGAUAUUUAUUAUUAUUGAUACUAUAUAUAUUACAUCCGAUUUUGUGGAGUUUUUUGCUAGUGAGCUUCUUGAAGCAGUGGUUUAUUACUAUGGGUAGUACACAAAUUAUGUUUCUUUGUUGAAGUUUGUUUCAACUAUAUGCAUUUUAAUUAUUUUUA